rnacentral:rRNA from 1 species
GACGAACCACACGAACGUUAUUCGGAAUUACUGGGCUUAAAGGGUGCGUAGGCGGCGCAGAAAGUUGGGUGUGAAAUCCCUCGGCUCAACCGAGGAACUGCGCCCAAAACUACUGUGCUUGAGGAAGAUAGAGGUAAGCGGAACUUACGGUGGAGCGGUGAAAUGCGUUGAUAUCGUAAGGAACACCUGUGGCGAAAGCGGCUUACUGGGUCUUUUCUGACGGCUGAUGCACGAAAGCCAGGGGAGAC